CCUACGGGGGGCAGCAGUGAGGAAUAUUGGUCAAUGGACGAGAGUCUGAACCAGCCAAGUAGCGUGAAGGAUGACUGCCCUAUGGGUUGUAAACUUCUUUUAUAAAGGAAUAAAACGAGGCACGUGUGCCUUUUUGCAUGUACUUUAUGAAUAAGGAUCGGCUAACUCCGUGCCAGCAGCCGCGGUAAUACGGAGGAUCCGAGCGUUAUCCGGAUUUAUUGGGUUUAAAGGGAGCGUAGAUGGGUUGUUAAGUCAGUUGUGAAAGUUUGCGGCUCAACCGUAAAAUUGCAAUUGAUACUGGCAGUCGUGAGUACAGUUGAGGUAGGCGGAAUUCGUGGUGUAGCGGUGAAAUGCUUAGAUAGCACGAAGAACCCCGAUUGCGAAGGCAGCUUACUAAACUGUGACUGACAUUGAUGCUCGAAAGUGUGGGUAUCAAACAGGAUUAGAUACCCGUGUAGUC
rnacentral:rRNA from 1 species